UGGGGAAUAUUGCACAAUGGGCGCAAGCCUGAUGCAGCCAUGCCGCGUGUAUGAAGAAGGCCUUCGGGUUGUAAAGUACUUUCAGCGGGGAGGAAGGCGUUGUGGUUAAUAACCACAGCGAUUGACGUUACCCGCAGAAGAAGCACCGGCUAACUCCGUGCCAGCAGCCGCGGUAAUACGGAGGGUGCAAGCGUUAAUCGGAAUUACUGGGCGUAAAGCGCACGCAGGCGGUCUGUCAAGUCGGAUGUGAAAUCCCCGGGCUCAACCCGGGAACUGCAUUCGAAACUGGCAGGCUAGAGUCUUGUAGAGGGGGGUAGAAUUCCAGGUGUAGCGGUGAAAUGCGUAGAGAUCUGGAGGAAUACCGGUGGCGAAGGCGGCCCCCUGGACAAAGACUGACGCUCAGGUGCGAAAGCGUGGGGAGCAAACAGG
rnacentral:rRNA from 1 species